rnacentral:rRNA from 1 species
AGCUCCAAUAGCGUAUAUUAAAGUUGUUGCAGUUAAAAAACUUGUAGUUGAACUUGUGGCCUGGAUGGCUCCGUCUGACGCUUAUGGGUGAAUACCUGAGCCAUCGGACCAUCCUUGGGUGGAACCUAUGUGGCAUUAAAUUGUCGUGUAGGGGAUGCCCAUCUUUUACUCUGAAAAAAUUAGAGUGUUCAAAGCAGGCUUAUGCCUUUGAAUAUAUUAUCAUGGAAUAAUGAUAUAGAACUUUGGUACCUUUUUGUUUGAUUGUGCACUAAAGUAAUGAUUAAUAGGGACAGUUGGAGAUAUUAGUAUUUUUAGGUCAGAGGUGAAAUUCUUGGAUUUUUUAAAGACUAACUACUGUGAAAGCAUUUAUCAAGGAUGUUUUCA